CCUACGGGAGGCAGCAGUAAGGAAUAUUGGACAAUGGCGGCAACGCUGAUCCAGCUAUCCCGCGUGCAGGACGAAGGGGCUACGCCUUGUAAACUGCUUUAGACUGAGGCGAAAAAAUGGGAUUUAUCCUAUAUUGACGGUAUCAGUAGAAUAAGCACCGGCUAACUCCGUGCCAGCAGCCGCGGUAAU
rnacentral:rRNA from 1 species